rnacentral:rRNA from 1 species
GAUGAACGCUGACAGAAUGCUUAACACAUGCAAGUCGAUGGGGAAGUGGUGCUUGCACCAUGGCAACCAUGGCGGACGGGUGAGUAACGCGUAAGGGACUUACCUGCAGGACUGGGAUAACAGGGGGAAACUCCUGACAAGACCGGAUAAUGUCAUGGAGCUGCAUGGCUUUAUGAUGAAAGGAGACGCCUGCGGAGAGCCUUGCGUCCUAUUAGCUAGUUGGUGAGGUAAUGGCUCACCAAGGCGAAGAUAGGUAGCCGGCCUGAGAGGGUGGACGGCCACAAGGGGACUGAGAUACGGCCGUGACUCCUACGGGAGGCAGGAGGGGGGAAUAGUGGACAAUGGGGGCAACCCUGAUCCAGCAAUUCUGUGUGGACGAAGAAGGUUUUCGGAUUGAAAAGGGCUUUCAGCAGGGAAGAAGUAAGUGACGGUACCUGCAGAAGAAGCGACGGCUAAAUACGUG